rnacentral:misc_RNA from 1 species
UGGCUCUCGCAUCGAUGAAGAACGCAGCGAAUUGCGAUAAGUAAUGUGAAUUGCAGAAUUCAGUGAAUCAUCGAAUCUUUGAACGCACCUUGCGCUCCUUGGUAUUCCGAGGAGCACGCCUGUUCGAGUGUCGUGAAUACCUCAAACUCUUUAUUUGCUUAAAGGGUUUGGACUUGGACUUUGCCGUGCUUCUCCAAGUACGGCUAGUCUUAAAUAGAUUAGCUGGUCCAUGCUUUGCAUGUUUGGUUCUACUCGGCGUGAUAAUUCUCUGACCGCCGAGGACAUUUGCUUCAUUGCAGAUGGCCUAAUGUGCCUUGGAUUGCUUCUAACAUUUGUCUUAGACAAAACUCUUUUCAACUUUGACCUCGAAUCAGGUGGGACUACCCGCUGA